rnacentral:misc_RNA from 1 species
GUUCGACAUGAGCGAUGGUUUCCGAUUGCUUGAAAACCAUGGCGUACUGAAAGCAAACAAACAUGAGAAAUUUCUUGAAGGCCUUGUCAACUACACAUGGAUCCUGCAGACCUCCCUGGAAAAUAUUAUUUUUUGGAACAGAUCGAUUCGCUGUCCAUCCACUGAAGGCUUUGCAUGAAAAUCAGAGAAGUUCAGGCUCAGUUGUAAAACGGAUUGAUGUUGUGUGUCCACCAGACAGACGCAAAGUGAUGAAGAAACCUUUGAAUGAAGAUGAUUCUACAAGAGAAUUUAGCAACAAACAUAAUAUUCCUAUUUAUUAUUGGAAUCACAAGGAAGGCUGGGACCUUAAUCAAGGGCCACCUGGUCCAUAUGACAUUGCAGUUGUUGCAUCCUUUGGCUACUUAAUACCUAACCAUGUUCUGGACAUGUUUCCGUGUGGUGCUAUAAACAUUCACCCAUCUCUCCUGCCGCAGUGGAAAGGAGCUGCGCCAAUGUCACAUGCAAUAUUAAGUGGAGCAAAGGAGACAGGGAUAUCCAUAGUUGAAGUAUCCAGAGACAGAUUUGAUGCUGGGCAGUGCUUACUUCAAGAAACAUUUAAGAUUUCAGAGGAUGUUAUGUACGAUGACCUUUCGAAUCAACUUGCAACACUUGGCACACAAAUGCUGAUGCAUGCUCUAGAGAAUUUAGAGUCUUUGCGCAAAAAUCCCAUACAGCGGGGAAAGAUGAAAGCCAGCUGGGCCCAUCGUCUGACUAAAGAGGACGGUUACAUUGACUGGACAGAUCACACUUGGUCUUAUAUCAGGAGGCGAUGGAAUGCUCUCUCUACCAGAGUUGGAGUUCAGACAAGCUGGGAAGGCAAAAAGGUCAAGUUAAUCAAAAUGUCUAAGGAGUGUCUUCAGUUAACAGCUGAAGAUACUGUGUCAACAAUUCCAGGGGAAGUGAAGUAUGAUAGAGAUCGUGAUGCCCUGUACAUUAGAUGUCGGGACGGUUGGGUUGGAAUAACAGAGCUACAGUUUGAAACCAAGACAGUCAUUACUGCUAAAGACUUUGCAAACGCAUAUCUUCAUGAAUCAGUUCGGAAUCCUUUGAAAUUGUGUUUUCAAAGUCUUCCGUGGAAAGAAAAAUGACUAUGCGCUCAAAAUAUUUGAUUUGUUAUCAAACGUACAUCUGACAUUGAAUUUUGGGCAGGUGUCGACGACAGCAGUGAGCUUUCAGCAUGGAGGCGGGUCGUUUGUAACCAUACUGGACAUUGCCUGAAAUGCAAUUCCUUCCGUACUGAUAACGGCCUAUCUCGAAAUGUAUUUAUCGAGCGUAACUUGCUGACUGUUGGUAGGUCGCAGGAAACAGGUCAUGGUCGCACAUAAUAAGCAUUAAUUAUUGCAGAAGAAAAGAAUUGCUAAAUUAAACCUACUCGUCUCUUGUCCAACAACGCUACACUUUUGAUGUUUCGUUCCUAUUUUUUUACUGUUUAAGUAGUACUGUUUUAUCCCCUAUAUCCAACUUGUGCCCAUCCCACUCAUCCCCAAGCUCCCCCAACCCCACAACUCCCGCUGUAGAACAUUUCUUUUCCUGUUUCCAUCUUUCCCUGCCUCACUCGUUAAACUUUUCAUCAUGUUUUUAACUAGUUUUAAACUUGUAUUAUUAGUAUCUGGAGAUUAGAAAGCCUGGAGACUCCAUACGUAACUAAUGCAUAUCUUUGAAAGGCAACAAUUUUUACUCAUCGCUCUUAAUGAUAAAAAAAAAUUUUACUUUGAGCAAGAACAGAUAACUAAGUGAGUUCAGCGUGAACGCUUUGGCAAAUCAAACUUUCGUCAUUUUCGAUUUGGUUGAGCUUCCGAGGUGAACAGUGACUGUUUGAUUUCCUCCGGGAAAGUACAUGUUUAACUGUUUUAUUUUCAGAGCUAAGAAAAUGUUUGAUGACUUUCCUCGACUUGGCGUAGUCAUCUGGAAAAAGGAAAGCUGUUACUGUGCGCAUUCAGCUUUUUAUCAACAGCGCUUGCAUUGUAUUCCCCCUUUCAUGAAGAAUGUAUUAUUCCCUUCUUGACGAGAGGAAAUGAAAAUUAACUUACAGUUGUCGUUGGUAAAUUCCAGGGGACUAAAAGUAGCCGUAAGCUCUACCUCCAACAAGAUAUAUACAGAAGUAACAAAAUUCGGCACCGCUGCAUUCAAACUUAAAAACAAUUUUGCCGAAAGUGGACGUACGAGUGUCUCGGGCGAUACCGAUGAAUAUCACCCGACUGUCUGAUUCUGAAAAGAAUCAUGUUUGUCACUUAUCUUUAUAUUCAACAAAAGAUCAAAUCAGGGUAAUAAAUGAAACAUUCCUUGAUGAAAUGUUUCUUAAACAGCUGAAACCAACUAUUGCUGCUUUUACACGUUACUGAUUAGUCGAGCUUUAUGUCAAUAACUCCUGCAUUCUAAUUGAUUCUUAUCUGAGUAACUAGGAAGUUUUCACCCAACUAAUCUGGCCUCGUUUCAUUUGUUUUGACACUGCCCAACAGUUAAAAAAGUCACCACGAUUUACCUAUCAACGUGAUCAAUCACAUAUGGCCCAAGCGUACUGUGCAUGAUUUUGGGGCUUAAAGGUCAUUUACGGGAAUACCUAACAUAUUAAGAUUGAAUUUUAAGCGUAAGCCUUGGCAAAAUUUUGUCGCGUUUGUUCAUGACUACGGUUCAACGGUUGUUCCUUUGUCGGCCAUUUUGAGGUUUAACCCAGAGUCACUUUUCAAGGCUUGCGUUCGGCCGGAAGCAAAUUAUCUUUUGGCUUUGUAAUUUCUAUUUCUGAAAAGUCACUUUUAAC